CAGUAGCCGCGGGAAUGCGUAGGUGGCAAGCGUUGUCCGGAAUUAUUGGGCGUAAAGCGCGCGCAGGCGGAUAGGUCAGUCUGUCUUAAAAGUUCGGGGCUUAACCCCGUGAUGGGAUGGAAACUGCCAAUCUAGAGUAUCGGAGAGGAAAGUGGAAUUCCUAGUGUAGCGGUGAAAUGCGUAGAUAUUAGGAAGAACACCAGUGGCGAAGGCGACUUUCUGGACGAAAACUGACGCUGAGGCGCGAAAGCGUGGGGAGCGAACAGGAUUAGAUACCCGUGUAGUCCCUGUCUCUUAUACA
rnacentral:rRNA from 1 species